AUGGCGGCGGCGGCGGGCAAUGUGGAGUUCAUCCGCGCGCGCAGCGACAAGCGGGAGUACCGCCGCCUGCUGCUCCCCAACGCGCUCGAGUGCCUCCUCAUCAGCGACGCCGACACCGACAAGGCGGCGGCGUGUAUGGAGGUCGGCGUGGGCUCGUUCAGCGACCCGGAGGGGCUCGAGGGCCUCGCGCACUUCCUCGAGCAUAUGCUGUUUUAUGCCAGCGAGAAAUACCCUGGAGAACAAGAUUAUACAAAAUAUAUCUCGGAGCACGGCGGUUCUUCCAAUGCCUUUACAUCCUCCGAGACAACGAAUUUCUAUUUUGAUGUUAACGCGGACAAUUUCGAAGAAGCCUUAGAUAGAUUUGCCCAGUUCUUCAUUAAGCCACUGAUGUCGCAGGAUGCUGUUCUUAGAGAGAUCAAGGCUGUUGAUUCUGAACACAAGAAAAAUCUGUUGUCAGAUGGCUGGAGAAUGCAUCAGCUUCAAAAGCAUCUGGCCUCAAAGGAUCAUCCUUACCAUAAAUUCAGUACGGGAAGUUGGGAAACACUGGAAACUAAACCAAAAGAGAGGGGUUUGGAUAUCAGGCUUGAGCUUCUGAAGUUUUACGAGAAUUAUUCAGCAAAUCUUAUGCAUCUUGUUGUUUAUGGAAAAGAGAGUCUCGAUUGCAUUCAAAGCUUAGUUGAAAGCCUGUUUAGUCACGUCAAGAACACAGACCAGAUAAGCUUCAAAUGUCCAAGUCAGCCCCUUUCAGCAGAACAUUUACAGCUUCUUGUCAAAGCAAUCCCAAUAAUAGAAGGCAACUACCUAAAAAUAUCAUGGCCAGUUACACCUAACAUCCAGUUCUACAAAGAAGGUCCUUGCCGUUAUCUCAGUCAUCUUAUUGGGCAUGAAGGCGAGGGAUCCAUCUUCCACAUUAUAAAGGAAUUAGGAUGGGCCAUGGAUUUGGUGGCUGGUGCCGGCAGUGACAGCAAUGAAUACUCUUUUUUCUCAGUAGGCAUGAGGCUCACUGAUGCUGGUCAUGACCACAUGGAGGAUAUUAUUGGGUUGGUCUUCAAAUACCUCCACCUAUUAAAAGAAGAUGGAAUCCAUGAAUGGAUAUUUGAUGAGCUUGCGUCAAUAAAUGAAACAGAAUUCCACUAUCAAGACAAAGUCCAUCCAAUCAGCUAUGUCACAGCUACUGUCUCAAGCAUGCGGUUGUUCCCACCAGAGGAAUGGCUGGUUGGAGAAUCAUUGCCGUCAAAGUAUGCGCCAAAUAGAAUAAAUAUGAUACUUGAUGAAUUGUCACCCGAAAGAGUUAGAAUACUCUGUGAAUCUAAAAAGUUUGAAGGAUCUACCAAUCGUGCUGAGCCUUGGUACAAUACAUCAUAUUCUAUUGAAAAUGUCACUCCAUACAUGAUAAAGCAAUGGAUUCAAAAAGCUCCUACUGAGAAGCUUUAUCUCCCAAAGCCAAACAUUUUCGUUCCAAAGGAUUUAUCUCUUAAAGAAGUGCCAGACAAGGUUACAUUUCCGACAAUAUUAAGGAAGACGCCACUUUCACGGCUGUGGUAUAAGCCCGACAUGCUGUUCUUCACUCCGAAGGUUUACAUUAUAAUUGAUUUCCACUGCCCAUUGUCAAGCCACUCCCCCGAAGCAGCCGUAUCUACAAGUCUCUUUGUCGAUUUGUUAGUCGAUUACUUGAAUGCUUAUGCUUAUGAUGCUCAAAUUGCGGGUUUAUUCUAUUCGAUAUAUCUUACUUCCACUGGAUUCCAGGUGUGCGUAGGUGGUUACAAUGACAAGAUGAGAGUUCUGCUACAUGCCAUAAUGAAGCAAAUAGUGAACUUUGUAGUUAAACCAAACAGGUUUUCUGCCCUGAAGGAAACUUCUGUCAAGGAUUACCAAAAUUUUAACUUCAGCCAACCAUACUCUCAAGCUUCGUAUUAUCUCUCAUUAAUAUUGGAAGAGAAAAAAUGGCCUUUGGCAGAGAAACUUCAAGCUCUUUCUAAGCUUGAGUCAGAUUCUCUUGCGAAGUUUGUGCCGCACUUGCUAUCGAAGACGUACUUGGAAUGCUAUGUUCAAGGAAACAUUGAGCCAGGUGAGGCUGAGUCUAUUGUCCAGGAGAUCGAAGAUACUAUAUUUAAUACCCCCAAUUCUGUAUUCAAACCCAUGUCUCCAUCACAAUACCUGGUCAAGAGGGUUAUCAUGCUUGAAAAAGAGAUAAAAUGUUGCUACCAAAUUGAGGGAUUAAAUCAGAAGAAUGAGAAUUCAUCGGUUGUCCAAUAUAUUCAGGUCCAUCAGGACGACGCCCUCUCAAAUAUCAAACUCGAGUUGUUCUCUCUAAUUUCUAGUCAGCCUGCUUUCAACCAGCUGCGGACUGUUGAGCAACUUGGGUAUAUAACAUAUCUUUCUCUGAGAUCUGAUCGUGGAGUCUGGGCACUCGAGGUUGUUAUUCAAUCCACAGUGAAGGAUCCUUCAUAUCUUGAUUCUAGAAUUGAUGAAUUCUUUAAGACAUUCGAAAGCAAAAUCCAUGAACUGUCCGACAAGGAUUUCAAGAGAAAUGUCAAAUCACUUAUUGAUUCGAAACUGGAGAAAUUUAAAAACUUGUGGGAGGAAUCUGGCUUCUACUGGGGAGAGAUUGAAGCCGGAACUCUCAAGUUUGAUAGGGUCGAGUCCGAGGUUGCUCUCCUAAGAGAGCUCAAGAAAGAAGAAUUCAUCGAAUACUUUGAUGAGUACAUAAAGGUGGACGCCCCUCAAAGGAGGACAGUAAGCGUGCAGGUCUUCAGCGGCAACCAUUCGGCAGAGUUCAAGAAGGCGAUCGCCGAGGCUGAUCCGCCCAAAACUUGCCGGAUUACCGACAUAUUCGGCUUCAAGCGAUCACGGCCUCUGCACCGCUCGCUGAAGGGAGGUCCAGGCCUGAUCACAAUGGACUGA
rnacentral:rRNA from 1 species